rnacentral:RNase_P_RNA from 1 species
UGAGUAGAUCGGAUGGUCGCGUGCUUUUAGCAUGAGGAAAGUCCGAGCUCCAUAAGGUAGGAUGCUGGGCAACACCCAGUGGGGGUGACCCUAAGGAUAGUGCAACAGAAAGAUACCGCCUGAUUUAUCAGGUAAGGGUGGAAAGGCGAGGUAAGAGCUCACCAGCGGCUAGGUGACUAGUCGGCUAUGUAAACCCCAUCCGGAGCAAGACCAAGUAGGGACAAAAGGUGACAGUUGCCUGCUGUCGUCCCAAUGGUAGGUCGCAUGAACCUAUUGGUAACAAUAGGUCAUAGAUAGAUGACCAUCUAAGACAGAACUCGGCUUACAGAUCUACUCGUUGA